AUUGAACGCUGGCGGCAUGCCUUACACAUGCAAGUCGAACGGUAACGCGGGGCAACCUGGCGACGAGUGGCGAACGGGUGAGUAAUGCAUCGGAACGUGCCCAGAAGUGGGGGAUAGCCCGGCGAAAGCCGGAUUAAUACCGCAUGAGACCUGAGGGUGAAAGCGGGGGAUCGCAAGACCUCGCGCUUUUGGAGCGGCCGAUGUCAGAUUAGCUAGUUGGUGGGGUAAAGGCCUACCAAGGCGACGAUCUGUAGCUGGUCUGAGAGGACGACCAGCCACACUGGGACUGAGACACGGCCCAGACUCCUACGGGAGGCAGCAGUGGGGAAUUUUGGACAAUGGGCGCAAGCCUGAUCCAGCCAUGCCGCGUGCGGGAAGAAGGCCUUCGGGUUGUAAACCGCUUUUAUCAGGGAAGAAACGCUCUGGGCUAAUACCCUGGGGAAAUGACGGUACCUGAAGAAUAAGCACCGGCUAACUACGUGCCAGCAGCCGCGGUAAUACGUAGGGUGCAAGCGUUAAUCGGAAUUACUGGGCGUAAAGCGUGCGCAGGCGGUUAUGCAAGACAGAUGUGAAAUCCCCGGGCUCAACCUGGGAACUGCAUUUGUGACUGCAUGGCUAGAGUGCGGCAGAGGGGGAUGGAAUUCCGCGUGUAGCAGUGAAAUGCGUAGAUAUGCGGAGGAACACCGAUGGCGAAGGCAAUCCCCUGGGCCUGCACUGACGCUCAUGCACGAAAGCGUGGGGAGCAAACAGG
rnacentral:rRNA from 1 species